CUGCAGGUUAGGUUACAGUGUGGCUUGUGCAGUGUCGCACUGUCGUUCCCCCUGCAAACAAUAACCUGUUUCAUUCUAUCCCUGUCUGUCUGAAUCCCCCAGCAGGCAGGGACGCUUGGUCACAAACAU
ensembl:snoRNA SNORA63 Small nucleolar RNA SNORA63